AGAUUGAACGCUGGCGGCAGGCCUAACACAUGCAAGUCGAGCGGUAGAGAGGUGCUUGCACCUCUUGAGAGCGGCGGACGGGUGAGUAAAGCCUAGGAAUCUGCCUGGUAGUGGGGGAUAACGCUCGGAAACGGACGCUAAUACCGCAUACGUCCUACGGGAGAAAGCAGGGGACCUUCGGGCCUUGCGCUAUCAGAUGAGCCUAGGUCGGAUUAGCUAGUUGGUGAGGUAAUGGCUCACCAAGGCGACGAUCCGUAACUGGUCUGAGAGGAUGAUCAGUCACACUGGAACUGAGACACGGGUCCAGACU
rnacentral:rRNA from 1 species